UGGGGAAUAUUGCACAAUGGACGGAAGUCUGAUGCAGCAACGCCGCGUGCGGGAUGACGGCCUUCGGGUUGUAAACCGCUUUUUCUCAUGACGAAGUUUUUUGACGGUAGUGGGGGAAGAAGCACUGGCUAACUACGUGCCAGCAGCCGCGGUGAUACGUAGGGUGCGAGCGUUGUCCGGAAGUAUUGGGCGUAAAGAGCUUGUAGGCGGUUUGUCGCGUCGAUAGUGCAAACUCAGUGCUUAACGCUGAGCCUGCUGUUGAUACGGGCAGACUAGAGGAAGGUAGGGGAGAAUGGAAUUCCCGGUGGAGCGGUGGAAUGCGCAGAUAUCGGGAGGAACACCGGUGGCGAAGGCGGUUCUCUGGGCCUUUCCUGACGCUGAGAAGCGAAAGCGUGGGGAGCGAACAGG
rnacentral:rRNA from 1 species